CAAGUCGAACGCAGUAGCAAUACUGAGUGGCAAACGGGUGAGUAUAAUGUGGGUAUCUGCCUUUUGGUUUGGAAUAACAUGAGGAAACUUAUGCUAAUACCGGAUAAGCCUUCACAGGGAAAGUUUUAUACGCCGAAAGAUGAGCCCGCACUUGAUUAGUUUGUUGGUGAGGUAAUGGCUCACCAAGACUACGAUCAAUAGCUGGUCUGAGAGGACGAUCAGCCACAUUGGGACUGAGACACGGCCCAGACUCCUACGGGAGGCAGCAGUAAGGAAUCUUGCACAAUGGGGGAAACCCUGAUGCAGCGAUGCCGCGUGAGUGAAGAAGGCCCUUGGGUUGUAAAACUCUUUCGUCGGGGAAGAAAAUGACUGUACCCGAAUAAGAAGGUCCGGCUAACUUCGUGCCAGCAGCCGCGGUAAUACGAAGGGACCUAGCGUAGUUCGGAAUUACUGGGCUUAAAGAGCUCGUAGGUGGUUAAAAAAGUUGAUGGUGAAAUCCCAAGGCUCAACCUUGGAACUGCCAUCAAAACUUUUUAGCUUGAGUGUGAUAGAGGAAAGUGGAAUUUCUAGUGUAGAGGUGAAAUUCGUAGAUAUUAGAAAGAACACCAAAUGCGAAGGCAACUUUCUGGGUCACUACUGACACUGAGGAGCGAAAGCAUGGGUAGCGAAGAGGAUUAGAUACCCUCGUAGUCCAUGCCGUAAACGAUGUGUGCUAGACGUUGGAAAUAUAUUUUUCAGUGUCGCAGCGAAAGCAUUAAGCACACCGCCUGGGGAGUACGACCGCAAGGUUAAAACUCAAAUGAAUUGACGGGGACCCGCACAAGCAGUGGAGCAUGUGGUUUAAUUCGAAGAUACGCGCAGAACCUUACCAACACUUGACAUGUUCGUCGCGAGACCAAGAGAUUGGUUUCUUCAUUUUAGUUGGACGAAACACGGGUGCUGCAUGGCUGUCGUCAGCUCGUGUCGUGAGAUG
rnacentral:rRNA from 1 species